GCAAGUAAUUCAGAAAACAAAUACUACAAAUAUUUCUUUACUCAAACCAAACAAACCAAAACACAAGCCAUUAUUGAGCAUUAUUUGUUGUCAAUUAAUUUAUGGUUCUAUAUAAAACAAACAAGAACUUUAGCUGCAGUAAAAUUAGACGCGACAACGAGGGAACGGACGCCAAGAAUCGGAGUGCUCUAUGCUGAAACCUGGAUGUCGGAUGCUGGAUGUUGGGUGAGGGUCAAGAAGAUGGGGACUAACAAACACCUGCAGUUGUUGCACCCACAUAGAUAUAUGUAUAUGUGUGUGGGUGGGAAAGUUCAAGCGGAGAGAAGAGCAAGAGAAAAACAGAAAAACAACGGAGACUGCCUUUUGCUUGCCUGGCUGCACCUGAAGACGCUGCAGAUGCUAAGGAGCCCUAAGCAGCUCAGGUGCGAGAGUGCGAGAGUGCGAGAGUGACUGAAGCGAACUCUGGUCGCAGUUUUCGUGGAGUAUGUGGGUACAUUUCGAAUAGUUCAACUACUUUCUGCACAAUAGAGAAAAAUGCAAGGCCUAAGCUCUUUUCAAGGAAUAGAGCGAGGGAAGAGGCGUCAAAAGGUGGACCAGGAUUUCAAUGUAAAUUGGCUGCCGUUGGGCAAACACUGCGCCACGGGAAUGUGUCAGCGGCUUAGACAAAUGGUGGCCAGGCGAGGGUAAACUCAAACUCGGUCAGACUAGACUAGACCAGAAAACAGAGAGCAGAGAACAGAGUGAAGCAGACAGUUGGAGUUGCUACAUGGCCAGGCCCAGCCACGGGCACUUCAACAUCAUCGGGAAAACUCAAGCGCAAAGUUAUUUGCACAUUAUUCGAGUAGCCAAAUUAGUUAAGGAGUCUUCAACUUUGGCUAAGGUGUUGACAGCCAGACAGUUAAGGCAUUAAAUAAUAAACACUAACACAGUUACUAACCAGAAAAUCCAAAAUAUUGAUUGAAUCGCCUUACAUAGUUUGAAGAAAGGAGACAAAUUAUUUGUUCUUAUAAAUUGUAUAA